UGGGCACCAACCUGCGAGGUUUGCAGC
rnacentral:piRNA from 1 species